AGCAAAUGUGCCACGUCAAGACUGGAAAUCACAGCCCUUGAGUGUGUCUCAGUCAGUGCAGCAGAAUUCAGGGGGGAUAGCCGAAUGCAACCCCUGGUGCAGGAAGGGAGGCUUUUCCCAAAGACCGGGACAGGAUUUUAAGUACACAGAUGGAAGCUUCUGGAGAUCCUGCUCCGUCGCCCCAGUGUUCAGACUACCUGUUCAGGACAAUGCCGUUGUACAGUAGUCUGCACAUUGGUUAGACUGGGCAGGGGAGCGCAACGCCACGGACGGCUGGGGACAGAAGUUGCUGUUUCCAAGGAGAAGACUUCUGUUUGCUUUUUCAAAUCUCAUACCCAGUGUUUUUCUUCACAGGUUUUGCACACUAGGGACCAAGAAGCCCUCGGGGACACCGCUGAGAGAGGACUGUUGGAAAGAAGACCUGUGGGUAAGGCCUCCUUGACUGCUCACCUGGUCUGUGCCCAGGAGAGGCGAGGUGGGGAGCCAAUGAUUUGCGUUCACGUGCGAGAGAAACAGAGGUAUAUGUGUCAUGCGAAGCAAUGCAUUUAGUUUUGAAAGAGUAACAAUAUGUGGUAUAUAGCGAUUUACUCUAUGUUAGUUGAUUUCUGAAGAUCUAGAAGUCAAGUAUAUUUUUAAGUUUAAAGUUUUUCCUCCUUUAAAAUGAAAUAUGAAAAGACUCCAGACACUUAAGAAUAACUUAAUGAGGCUAGUUUUUAAUUGUUGAAAUUAAUAAUACAAAGACCUAAUAACUUACUUGAAUAAGGGCUGUAGUAGAACUUUUAACCUCCCCGGGAUUGAAUCCAUUUUGCUUCAAAGUAAAGAAUAUUGGCUAUUUUUACAAUGCUAUCUGAAGAGUGCUUUUUUUUGAAAAUUUACGUACAUGAUAAUAUCUAACAAUAAAAGAAGAGGCUGCCAAGUUCUUGCCCACCAGACAAUACAAAUGGGACUGACCCAGAAAAGAGCGCCAACCCAGAACCUAGUGAGUCAGCAACUGAUUAAGUCACAGAAUAGAAGAAACCUCUGUCUUCAGAUAUCCCAAUAUACAUCUGUGUCACAUUUUUUUUUUUAAAUCAAAAAAUGGUUGAUAAUUGCUGGUCAGCUGAGACCUCAUGCCUAUAUUUUACAAUGCUUCUAUUUCUCUGAGCAUUUAAAAUGAUAAGGUACUUUGUCUAGAAACCCACUGAUAAAAAAGGAAUUUGUAAACGAAGGCAAAGUUUUCUUUGGUCAGUUUCCAGCUGUCCUGGAGGUGAAGGGGGAUGGGUGGGGAAGGUGGGAGGGAGGAAAACCCUUAAGCUGAAUGAAAUCCCAAUAGAGAGAAUAAUAGAGAAAGUCUGGGUUGCAAUAUGAUCCUUGCUGAACUUUAAAGGUGGGUCUCUUAAAGAAAGUUCUGGAAAAAUGUUACUGCCUCACCCCUAAUUCCCUCAACCCCCAUUUAUAUCUACUCCCAAACAAUUCUAUAUAAUGAAAACAUCUGUUCUAUAGUUUUUUAUGAAAAAGUGGAUGUGAUCCCUUUUUGUCCUCCUUUAAAUUUUUUAAAAUUACAGUGAUUCCUGAACAAAUCCUUUUCUAAAUUACACAUUUUGCAACAAUUCAAAAUUAUCACAAGUUCUCUUUUGCGACCCAUUUUAUUAAACAAGGUUCCCCAAGUUAUCUUUCGUCAAAACAAUCUGCUUUUUUAAAUGACCCUUUUGAUCAUCCUCAAACUGGCGUAAAGAACAUAUAACCUUUUAUUCAUGGUUUUUAGUUAAAAUAUAAAAAGCAUGGAUAAAUUUAGUUAUCUUCUCCACUUAGAUGAUAUAGUAAAGUCUUCCUUUGUUUUUUCUAUUGUGACUUAGAGGCUUCCAUAUUAAUUAUUUUUAAUAGAACAAGAGAUAUUUAAAAUCUAUAUAGUUUCUUUUACAUAAGAAAACAAAAAAAAAAACCUAUUAGGUAAAUACAGAAGCUUAUUUUCUCCGAUAUAUAUUUUUACUAACUGAAGCAGUUACUAAAGAAGAAAGAUAGCUAUAACGGGCUUUUUUUGGUUUUUGGUUUUCGUUUUUUUAGUCUGUAGAAAUGACAGAAUUUCAUAACUUGCCUUCAUUCACGUAUAUUCAAUUUAAAUGUCUGUCUUCAUAAUAAAUCGCCUUUUUGUUUCUAAGAAACCAACCACAAUUGGUCGCCCACCAAAUUUCUCCCUAGGAUGACUUUUAGUCUGGAGACAGAGAGGACUCGAUUGCGUCCUUGGCAUAAAUACAGGAAUAGGAACAUAAGAAUUAAUUUGUAAGGGGGUAGCCGAGGAGUGCCUGCAAGUGGUUGGUGGAGUCCUGAGGACCCAUUUUUGAUGCAAGCUUUAAACAAAUGAAAAGGAAUCACACUUACUUUUAAAUUGCAUGAGCUAAAUUACAGAUCCAAAGUAAAAGCUCACUUUAUAAACUCCUGUUGACUGAAGGCAAGGAUGGUAGUUUAAGCAGUGGUAUAUAUACCAGCACGUAUACACACAUAUCAUAAAAUAACCGUGUCUAUUUCCAGAGUAAUUAGAACAAUGUUUAACUUUAUUUUGAUAUUACUUUAUAAGGAGAUAUACAAAUAUUUUAGAGGUCAUGGGAUCUAUUCCAGAGGAAACUAACCAACAAUGACAUCUUCAAGUAAAACUACCCCUGGAUAUGAUGGUGAGUAUUAAAAUUAAACACUGUACAUUGUCAGAAAGAGAAAAAUGUUUUCAGGGGUCUGUCCAAACUGCAGUUCAUUGAAGCUGAGUAGUUAUUUUUUGUUUUAGUGCGUGGAUGACUGGUAAGUUAGGCUAGGUACUGGGUUAAAAGGAAAACUUUUUCUAGCAUCUAAGAGAAAGGAAAUUAAGGGCUUUAGACUCAAUACCAUCAAUUCCUAAGUGAAAGAGGAUCAAUAUAAAAGUUUAUAUUUUCAAAACCUCACUCCCUUUUUUAAGACAAAGAUCUCAAAAUCAAAGAAAGUUUGUUUACAAUGGGACGAAAUUUCACACUGAUCACUUUCUUGCAAUUAGUCAAUAGGUUUAACAUCCUUCCUGCUUGGCAUUUCUGUCUUUCGGCCCAGAUAAUGUGUUUAUGUUUUUAAAGACCAAAAUAUACUGUCUACCCCCACCUCUCGCCUUACAGACCACCCAAGUUUUUCACGCCGUGGGAAAAAGUUUAGGCAUAAAACUUCUAAUGAAAGAAUUUUCCCUUUUUUGUUCUUAAGGAAAUUUAAAAAAACUACAACUUGAUAAUGAGAAAAAGUUCACUCAUCCACCAGUGUCUAUCCUUAGUAAAGAGAAGCCAAAGCUUUCAAUUACUCUACAAGAGAUUUUUCUCUAUAAAAACAACCCUUUUUUCUCUUUUCUAAAGAGAAUAUCCCACCCAUCACAAUAAUGUCCAAAUAAUAACUAAGCGACCAUCACUCAGAAAUCUCAACUUAAAAUAAUUAGAAGGUCAGACUUUAACCUGAGAGGAGACAGGAAAUUGUCUUCAGUGAAGACAAACUUUCUUACUUGGUUUCUUCUAUCUUUUUACCUUAAUGUGCUACAAACUAUGUAGAUAGAAAUAUUUAUCCAUUUUUGAAAGUUUCUUAUUAACAAGCAUUAUCAGUUUUAAUAAAUAGAGAUGAUGAGGUAAAUUAAAGAAAAUAAUUAAAUAUUCAUUUUGAAUUUCCUGACCUAUCGUGACAGCCAGUUUCCUGAAGCUGCUUUGGCUUAAUUUUGCUGUAAAGGACUUAGAAGAUAAUUCUUUCAAUGCAUUUUUUUCCCCUUAAGAUAAUAAAUAGAAGACAAAAGAAAAUGAGGUGUAAUAACCAUAUUAAAAAUUACAUGUUAUGAUAAUAAUGUAAAUAGCGCUUUUAUAUUUUAGCUAGUAUUUUACGUGAUAGUGGAUUGAUAUUCACUCUAUUUGGAAGAUUGGAAAAAAGUCUUAAAUGUUUUUUUCAGCCUUUCAUGUUUUUAACAAGGUUAAAGACAGGUCCAAUAGCACUAUAAAGUGUGCAUAUGCAACAUACUUACUACAAUUAUAGUUUAAAAAUCUAUUAGAAACAUGAAUUAUCUAAAAGUCUUAUGAAUAGAGUACAUAUUUUUCAGCAAGAUUUUUUUUCUCCUUGAAAAAAAGUUAAUGGUUUUUCAGGCUCAAAUAUUUUGGAUAUCUUGGUUUAAUAGAACUGUUUCAUAGUAAAAUAUAGCAUAUAAACUCACAAAUAUUUCUUUCUAUUUUUUCAGGUUGCAUGCAUCAUUCCUUUAAUUGAGCAGAGUUAACUGGAUCAAAUUAUUUAUGGGAGAGAGAGGGAAAGCUAUACAGAAUUACAGUAAUUUUUAAUUUCCACCAAUAUAUUCUUUGUAAGUGAAUCACUCUAAAUAUUUUCUGUUACACUGAAUGAAGCAACAAUAACAAAAUAGUUUCUUAAGGUAUUUGUUUUUGCAUACUCUGACCUUGUAAUUAUCUAAAUAGCAGCCAAGUUUACUGACAUUUUUGAUUCUAUCAGAAAAAAAAA
rnacentral:lncRNA from 1 species